GAUUAGUUUGAUCCUGGCUCAGGAUGAACGCUAGCGGCAGGCUUAACACAUGCAAGUCGAGGGGUAAGGUAGCAAUAUCUGAGACCGGCGCACGGGUGCGUAACGCGUAUGCAAUCUACCUUUCACAGAGGGAUAGCCCAGAGAAAUUUGGAUUAAUACCUCAUAGUAUAAUGAUUUGGCAUCAAGACAUUAUUAAAGUCACAACGGUGAAAGAUGAGCAUGCGUCCCAUUAGCUAGUUGGUAUGGUAACGGCAUACCAAGGCGACGAUGGGUAGGGGUCCUGAGAGGGAGAUCCCCCACACUGGUACUGAGACACGGACCAGACUCCUACGGGAGGCAGCAGUGAGGAAUAUUGGACAAUGGGCGAAAGCCUGAUCCAGCCAUGCCGCGUGCAGGAUGAAGGCCUUCGGGUUGUAGACUGCUUUUGUACGGAACGAAAAGACUCUGGUUAAUACCUGGGGUCCAUGACGGUACCGUAAGAAUAAGCACCGGCUAACUACGUGCCAGCAGCCGCGGUAAUACGUAGGGUGCAAGCGUUAAUCGGAAUUACUGGGCGUAAAGCGUGCGCAGGCGGUUAUAUAAGACAGAUGUGAAAUCCCCGGGCUCAACCUGGGAACUGCAUUUGUGACUGUAUAGCUAGAGUACGGCAGAGGGGGAUGGAAUUCCGCGUGUAGCAGUGAAAUGCGUAGAUAUGCGGAGGAACACCGAUGGCGAAGGCAAUCCCCUGGGCCUGUACUGACGCUCAUGCACGAAAGCGUGGGGAGCAAACAGGAUUAGAUACCCUGGUAGUCC
rnacentral:rRNA from 1 species